rnacentral:rRNA from 1 species
ACCAGACUCCUACGGGAGGCAGCAGUGAGGAAUAUUGGUCAAUGGGCGAGAGCCUGAACCAGCCAAGUCGCGUGAAGGAUGAAGGAUCUAUGGUUUGUAAACUUCUUUUAUAUGGGAAUAAAGUGAGGAACGUGUUCCUUUUUGUAUGUACCAUAUGAAUAAGCAUCGGCUAACUCCGUGCCAGCAGCCGCGGUAAUACGGAGGAUGCGAGCGUUAUCCGGAUUUAUUGGGUUUAAAGGGUGCGUAGGUGGUUAAUUAAGUCAGCGGUGAAAGUUUGUGGCUCGACCGUAAAAUUGCCGUUGAAACUGGUUGGCUUGAGUAUAUUUGAGGUAGGCGGAAUGCGUGGUGUAGCGGUGAAAUGCCUAGAUCUCGCGCAGGACUCCGAUUGCGGCGGCUGCUUACUAUGCUGUAACUGCCCCU